GAUGAACGCUGGCGGCGUGCCUAAUACAUGCAAGUCGAGCGAACAGACGAGGAGCUUGCUCCUCUGACGUUAGCGGCGGACGGGUGAGUAACACGUGGAUACCCUACCUAUAAGACUGGGAUCACUUCGAGAAACCGGAGCUAAUACCGGAUAAUAUAUUGAACCGCAUGGUUCAAUAGUGAAAGACGGUUUUGCUGUCACUUAUAGAUGGAUCCGCGCCGCAUUAGCUAGUUGGUAAGGUAACGGCUUACCAAGGCGACGAUGCGUAGCCGACCUGAGAGGGUGAUCGGCCACACUGGAACUGAGACACGGUCCAGGCUCCUACGGGAGGCAGCAGUAGGGAAUCUUCCGCAAUGGGCGAAAGCCUGACGGAGCAACGCCGCGUGAGUGAUGAAGGUCUUCGGAUCGUAAAACUCUGUUAUUAGGGAAGAACAAAUGUGUAAGUAACUAUGCACGUCUUGACGGUACCUAAUCAGAAAGCCACGGCUAACUACGUG
rnacentral:rRNA from 1 species